GAUGAACGCUGGCGGCGUGCUUAACACAUGCCAGUCGAACGGACAGGCCCAAGGUUGCUUGGGUACUCGAGUGGCGAACGGGAGAGUAACACGUGGGUGAUCUGCCCUGCACUUCGGGAUAAGCCUGGCAAACUGGGUCUACUACCGGAUAGGACGAUGGUUUGGAUGCCAUUGUGGAAAGUUUUUUCGGUGUGGGAUGAGCUCGCGGCCUAUCAGCUUGUUGGUGGGGUAAUGGCCUACCAGGGCGUCGACGGGGAGCCGGCCUGAGAGGGCGUAGGGCCACACUGGGACCCUGAGACAGGCCGCAGUCGGACAGGAGGCAGAAGGGGGGAAUAUCGCACGGAGCGCGCAAGCGUGAGGCAGCGAGGCCUCGGGAGCGAAGAGGUCCGUCGUUAGGGAAGCACAGCGCGCAGAGGAACAGGCGUGUUUGUGACGGUACCUGGAGAAAAAGCAACGGCUAACUACGUG
rnacentral:rRNA from 1 species